rnacentral:rRNA from 1 species
AGAUUAGCUUGUUGGUAAGGGUAAUGGCUUACCAAGGCUACGAUCUUUAGCUGGUCUGAGAGGACGAUCAGCCACAUUGGGACUGAGACACGGCCCAGACUCCUACGGGAGGCAGCAGUGGGGAAUAUUGGACAAUGGGCGCAAGCCUGAUCCAGCCAUACCGCGUGUGUGAAGAAGGCUCUAGGGUUGUAAAGCACUUUAAGCAGGGAGAAAAAGUUAUAAAUUAAUACUUUAUAACCGUGAUGUUACCUGCAGAAUAAGCACCGGCUAAUUCCGUGCCAGCAGCCGCGGUAAUACGGAAGGUGCAAGCGUUAAUCGGAAUUACUGGGCGUAAAGCGCGCGUAGGUGGUUUGUUAAGUUGGAUGUGAAAGCCCUGGGCUCAACCUAGGAACUGCAUCCAAAACUAACUCACUAGAGUACGAUAGAGGGAGGUAGAAUUCAUAGUGUAGCGGUGGAAUGCGUAGAUAUUAUGAAGAAUACCAGUGGCGAAGGCGGCCUCCUGGAUCUGUACUGACACUAAGGUGCGAAAGCGUGGGUAGCGAACAGGAUUAGAUACCCUGGUAGUCCACGCCGUAAACGAUGACAACUAGCUGUUGGAAGACAAUGUCUUUCAGUGGCGCAGCUAACGUUUUAAGUUGUCCGCCUGGGGAGUACGGCCGCAAGGCUAAAACUCAAAUGAAUUGACGGGGACCCGCACAAGCGGUGGAGCAUGUGGUUUAAUUCGAUGCAACGCGAAAAACCUUACCUACUCUUGACAUACUUGGAAGCUCUUGUAAUGAGAGUGUGCCUUUUGGAGCCAAGAUACAGGUGCUGCAUGGCUGUCGUCAGCUCGUGUCGUGAGAUGUUCCGUUAAGUCGGAUAACGAGCGCAACCCUUACCCUUAUUUGCCAGCGAUUCGGUCAGGAACUAUAAGGGGACUGCCGGUGAUAAACCGGAGGAAGGUGAGGACGACGU